rnacentral:rRNA from 1 species
GACGGAGGGUGCUAGCGUUGUUCGGAAUUACUGGGCGUAAAGGGCGCGUAGGCGGCUUCGGUAGUCGGGUGUGAAAGCCCGGGGCUCAACCCCGGAACGGCACCCGAUACUCCGAGGCUCGAGACCGGGAGAGGAGGGUGGAAUACCCAGUGUAGAGGUGAAAUUCGUAGAUAUUGGGUGGAACACCGGUGGCGAAAGCGGCUCUCUGGCCCGGUUCUGACGCUGAGGCGCGAAAGCGUGGGGGAGCAAACAGG